GUCGGGAUAGCUCAGCAGGUAGAGCAGAGGACUGAAAA
rnacentral:tRNA from 2 species